AGUGAACGCUGGCGGUAGGCCUAACACAUGCAAGUCGAACGGCAGCACAGUAAGAGCUUGCUCUUACGGGUGGCGAGUGGCGGACGGGUGAGGAAUACAUCGGAAUCUACUUUUUCGUGGGGGAUAACGUAGGGAAACUUACGCUAAUACCGCAUACGACCUACGGGUGAAAGCAGGGGAUCUUCGGACCUUGCGCGAUUGAAUGAGCCGAUGUCGGAUUAGCUAGUUGGCGGGGUAAAGGCCCACCAAGGCGACGAUCCGUAGCUGGGCUGAGAGGAUGAUCAGCCACACUGGAACUGGGACACGGUCCUGACUCCUACGGGACGCAGCAGUGGGGAAUAUUGGACAAUGGGCGCAAGCCUGAUCCAGCCAUACCGCGUGGGUGAAGAAGGCCUUCGGGUUGUAAAGCCCUUUUGUUGGGAAAGAAAAGCAGCAGGUUAAUACCCCGCUGUUCUGACGGUACCCAAAGAAUAAGCACCGGCUAACUUCGUG
rnacentral:rRNA from 1 species